GAGUGCAUGACUGGGGUCGAAGGUUGCAUGCCUCAGGUGGGAGAAAAAUGCAUGACCAUCCGCAUCAGCAAAGACGGAGAGGAGAAAUUCAGGAUCCUGGGCUGCACCAGACAGAA